rnacentral:rRNA from 1 species
GUCUACGGCCAUGCCACCCUGAACAAGCCCGAUGUCUCAGAAGCUAAGCAGGGUCGGGCCUAGUUAGUAAUUGGAUGGGAGGCCACCUAGGAAGACCAGGUGCUAUAAGCA